rnacentral:rRNA from 1 species
GACGUAGGGCGCGAGCGUUGUCCGGAUUUAUUGGGCGUAAAGAGCUCGUAGGCGGUUUGUCGCGUCGAAUGUGAAAACCCGGGGCUCAACUCCGGGCCUGCAUUCGAUACGGGCAGACUAGAGUUCGGUAGGGGAGACUGGAAUUCCUGGUGUAGCGGUGAAAUGCGCAGAUAUCAGGAGGAACACCGGUGGCGAAGGCGGGUCUCUGGGCCGAUACUGACGCUGAGGAGCGAAAGCAUGGGGAGCGAACAGG